GAUGAACGCUAGCGGCAGGCUUAAUACAUGCAAGUCGUGGGGCAGCAGGGUUGCAGCAAUACAAUCGCUGGCGACCGGCAAACGGGUGCGUAACACGUACGCAACCUUCCCGUUACUGUGGAAUAGCCCAGGGAAACUUGGAUUAAUACCACAUAUUAUAUUGAUGAGGCAUCUCGUUGAUAUCAAAGCUUCGGCGGUAACGGAUGGGCGUGCGGUUGAUUAGGUAGUUGGCGGGGUAACGGCCCACCAAGCCUACGAUCAAUAGCUGAUGUGAGAGCAUGAUCAGCCACACGGGCACUGAGACACGGGCCCGACUCCUACGGGAGGCAGCAGUAAGGAAUAUUGGGCAAUGGACGAAAGUCUGACCCAGCCAUGCCGCGUGAAGGAUUAAGGUCCUCUGGAUUGUAAACUUCUUUUCUCUGGGGCGAAAACCAGCUAUUCUUAGCUAUUUGACAGUACCAGAGGAAUAAGCACCGGCUAACUCCGUGCCAGCAGCCGCCGUAAAAC
rnacentral:rRNA from 1 species